GUGGGUAGUUUGACUGGGGCGGUCUCCUCCUAAAGAGUAACGGAGGAGCACGAAGGUUGGCUAAUCCUGGUCGGACAUCAGGAGGUUAGUGCAAUGGCAUAAGCCAGCUUGACUGCGAGCGUGACGGCGCGAGCAGGUGCGAAAGCAGGUCAUAGUGAUCCGGUGGUUCUGAAUGGAAGGGCCAUCGCUCAACGGAUAAAAGGUACUCCGGGGAUAACAGGCUGAUACCGCCCAAGAGUUCAUAUCGACGGCGGUGUUUGGCACCUCGAUGUCGGCUCAUCACAUCCUGGGGCUGAAGUAGGUCCCAAGGGUAUGGCUGUUCGCCAUUUAAAGUGGUACGCGAGCUGGGUUUAGAACGUCGUGAGACAGUUCGGUCCCUAUCUGCCGUGGGCGCUGGAGAACUGAGGGGGGCUGCUCCUAGUACGAGAGGACCGGAGUGGACGCAUCACUGGUGUUCGGGUUGUCAUGCCAAUGGCACUGCCCGGUAGCUAAAUGCGGAAGAGAUAAGUGCUGAAAGCAUCUAAGCACGAAACUUGCCCCGAGAUGAGUUCUCCCUGAGACUUUAGGUCUCCUGAAGGAACGUUGAAGACGACGACGUUGAU
rnacentral:rRNA from 1 species